UACGUAGGGCGCAAGCGUUAUCCGGAAUUAUUGGGCGUAAAGAGCUCGUAGGCGGUUUGUCGCGUCUGCCGUGAAAGUCCGGGGCUCAACUCCGGAUCUGCGGUGGGUACGGGCAGACUAGAGUGAUGUAGGGGGAGACUGGAAUUCCUGGUGUAGCGGUGAAAUGCGCAGAUAUCAGGAAGAACACCAAUGGCGAAAGCAGCUCUCUGGGACGGUACUGACGCUGAGACGCGAAAGCGUGGGGAGCGAAGCAGG
rnacentral:rRNA from 1 species